rnacentral:tRNA from 1 species
GCAGACGUAGUUUAAUAAAAAUAUUAAAUUGUGAUUUUAAAAAUAAAGGUUAAACUCCUUUCUUCUGCU